AACGAACGCUGGCGGCGCGUCUUAAGCAUGCAAGUCGGACGGCAAGGGUAGCAAUACCCCUAGAGUGGCGGACUGGUGAGUAACACGUGGGUGACCUGCCCUUGAGAUGGGGAUAGCCAUUAGAAAUAGUGGAUAAUACCGAAUACGCUCUGGAUGCUAUGGCGACCAGAGGAAAUCAGGCUACGGCCUGGCUCGAGGAUGGGCCCGCGUCCCAUUAGCUAGUUGGUGAGGUAACGGCCCACCAAGGCGACGAUGGGUAUCCGGCCUGAGAGGGUGUACGGACACAUUGGGACUGAGAUACGGCCCAAACUCCUACGGGAGGCAGCAGCUAAGAAUAUUCCGCAAUGGACGAAAGUCUGACGGAGCGACGCCGCGUGGAUGAAGAAGGCCAAAAGGUUGUAAAAUCCUUUUGCUGAUGAAGAAUAAGUGGUGUAGGGAAUGACAUCAUGAUGACAUUAGUCGGUGAAUAAGCCCCGGCUAACUACGUGCCAGCACG
rnacentral:rRNA from 1 species